rnacentral:rRNA from 1 species
UACGAAGGGGGCUAGCGUUGCUCGGAAUCACUGGGCGUAAAGGGUGCGUAGGCGGGUCUUUUAAGUCAGGGGUGAAAUCCUGGAGCUCAACUCCAGAACUGCCUUUGAUACUGAGGAUCUUGAGUUCGGGAGAGGUGAGUGGAACUGCGAGUGUAGAGGUGAAAUUCGUAGAUAUUCGCAAGAACACCAGUGGCGAAGGCGGCUCACUGGUCCGGUACUGACGCUGCGGUGCGAAAGCGUGGGGAGCAAACAGG